AGACUGGGACAACUACGGGAAACUGUAGCUAAUACCGGAUAACAUAUGUUUCCGCAUGGAGACAUAUUAAAAGUCGCUCAUGGUGACACCAUAAGAUGGCUUUGCGGUGCAUUAGCUAGUUGGUAGGGUAAAGGCCUACCAAGGCGACAAUGCAUAGCCAACCUGAAAGGGUGAUCGGCCACACUGGGACUGAAACACGGCCCAAACUCCUACGGGAGGCAGCAGUAGGGAAUCUUCGGCAAUGGGGGCAACCCUGACCGAGCAACGCCGCGUGAGUGAAGAAGGUUUUCGGAUCGUAAAGCUCUGUUGUAAGAGAAGAACGAGUGUGAGAGUGGAAAGUUCACACUGUGACGGUAUCUUACCAGAAAGGGACGGCUAACUACGUGCCAGCAGCCGCGGUAAUACGUAGGUCCCGAGCGUUGUCCGGAUUUAUUGGGCGUAAAGCGAGCGCAGGCGGUUUGAUAAGUCUGAAGUUAAAGGCUGUGGCUCAACCAUAGUUCGCUUUGGAAACUGUCAAACUUGAGUGCAGAAGGGGAGAGUGGAAUUCCAUGUGUAGCGGUGAAAUGCGUAGAUAUAUGGAGGAACACCAGUGGCGAAAGCGGCUUUCUGGUCUGUAACUGACGCUGAGGCUGGAAAGCGUGGGGAGCAAACAGGAUUAGAUACCCUGGUAGUCCACCCCGUAAACGAUGAGUGCUAGGUGUUAGGCCCUUUCCGCGGCUUAGUGCCGCAGCU
rnacentral:rRNA from 1 species